rnacentral:lncRNA from 1 species
ACAAAUCCAUCCCAAUUCAAGCUCAAUCAACAUUCCAACAAUACAAAUUCCAAUCUAAUUACAUAAACCAUUCAUUCCAAUAAUCAACCAAUACAAAUACAUUCCACAUCAAAUUUUCAAGCUUAGAAAUCAAUCCUACAUAGCCUAUGAUUCCCAUUUCCAAGCACCUGCAUUUUCACAAAAGAAAAACAAUAUAAGAUUCACUUGCAUUUCAGGAUCAUUCAAUACACAUCACCAAACAAUGAUUUUAACUAUAACAGAGCAAGUGAUCCACAUAAAUUCAGCUAACAUUGGAAAAAGGCAUGUCCAUAUCCUAUAACCAUUAACAUACUAACAUAAACAACCUAACCUAAACCCUUCCAAGCCAAGGUAAACAUGAACCUGCACCAAUUUAAACACCAAACUAACAGUAUAAACAUCACAGAGCAGAAAGUGGUUUUCAUUUUGACGGUUAUUUCGUGAUUGAAUCUCUAACCUCCAACAUCACUAACAUAUAACUAACUCCUAACUAACUAACAAAAUCACAAAAUUAACAGUUUUACUUCCUAACAGAAAAUCAUCCUAACUAACACAAACUAAAAACUAACUCUAACAGAAUUCCACAUUUCAAUGUAAUUUGAGUUAAGUUUCAAUUUCAUUUCACCAUAAUUUCUAAUAGUAUUUGAUAACAGAAUUAGAAUUCUAUAAGUACUCAACUCACCAUUCUGCAGAGGGAGGUUCUUCGUUUCACUCUGAAAUCUCUUCACUUCACUU